rnacentral:sRNA from 1 species
CCGCCCGUCACACCAUGAGAGUUGGUAAUACCAGAAGCACGUAUCUUAACCGUAAGGAGGGAGCGUACCAAGGUAGGAUUAGCGAUUAGGGUGAAGUCGUAACAAGGUAUCCGUACGGGAACGUGCGGAUGGAUCACCUCCUUUCUAUGGAGUAUUCGUAGAUUAAGAGAAAAAGCUGAGUGAAACGAUAAAACAGCUUAUGAUUAUAUCUCGUUCUAUCUAGUUUUCAGAGAUUGUUUUUGCGGGCCUUUUGGCCCAAACAAUUUCUGUAAAGAAAAUCGUUCUUUGAAAACUGAAUAUUAGAUGAAAAUAGACAUUUUAUUUUUCUUACGUUUAUAAACAAUAUAAAACGUAUUAGUAACUUAAUUUAGAUUAAUACUAAGAAAACUAAAAUUUCAUUAAUUUUAUAGAUUAUCUAUAUAUGCAAUAGGUUUUUCUUUAGAAAGUAUAGUAAGGGCGUAUGGUGAAUGCCUUGGAAAAUGGAGCCGAUGAAGGACGUGACUACCUGCGAAAAGUGCCGGGGAGCUGGAAGUAAGCUUUGAUCCGACAAUGUCCGAAUGGGGAAACCCAGCACGAUUAAUCUCGUGUUAUCCAUAACUGAAUACAUAGGUUAUGAGAAGGGAACCUUGGGAACUGAAACAUCUUAGUACCAAGAGGAAAAGAAAACGAAUGUGAUUCUGUAAGUAGCGGCGAGCGAAGGCGGAACAGGCCAAACCGGUCUACGGGCCGGGGUUGUAGGACUCAUGUUAGAGUUACAAAGUUAGUGUAUAGCAGAAGCUGUUGGGAAGCAGCGCCGCAGAGGGUGAUAGCCCCGUAUGCGAAAUGCACUAACCUCGAGUGAGUAUCCUGAGUACGGCGGGGCACGAGAAACCCUGUCGGAAUCUACCCAGACCACUGGGUAAGCCUAAAUACUACCAUUUUACCGAUAGUGAACCA